rnacentral:rRNA from 1 species
UACGGGGGGGGGCAAGCGUUGUUCGGAAUUACUGGGCGUAAAGGGCUCGUAGGCGGCCAACUAAGUCAGACGUGAAAUCCCUCGGCUUAACCGGGGAACUGCGUCUGAUACUGGAUGGCUUGAGGUUGGGAGAGGGAUGCGGAAUUCCAGGUGUAGCGGUGAAAUGCGUAGAUAUCUGGAGGAACACCGGUGGCGAAGGCGGCAUCCUGGACCAAUUCUGACGCUGAGGAGCGAAAGCGUGGGGAGCGAUCCGG